UUGACCUCGGAUCAGGUAGGACUACCCGCUGAACUUAAGCAUAUCAAUAAGCGGAGGAAAAGAAACCAACAGGGAUUGCCCCAGUAACGGCGAGUGAAGCGGCAACAGCUCAGAUUUGGAAUCUGGCCCCCAGGGCCCGAGUUGUAAUCUGGAGAGGAUGCUUCUGGCGCGGCGCCUUCCGAGUUCCCUGGAACGGGACGCCGGAGAGGGUGAGAGCCCCGUACGGUUGGACGCCUAGCCUUUGUGAAGCUCCUUCGACGAGUCGAGUAGUUUGGGAAUGCUGCUCAAAAUGGGAGGUAAAUUUCUUCUAAAGCUAAAUACCGGCCAGAGACCGAUAGCGCACAAGUAGAGUGAUCGAAAGAUGAAAAGCACUUUGAAAAGAGG
rnacentral:rRNA from 1 species